rnacentral:rRNA from 1 species
GAUGAACGCUGGCGGCGUGCCUAAUACAUGCAAGUCGAGCGAACAGACGAGGAGCUUGCUCCUCUGACGUUAGCGGCGGACGGGUGAGUAACACGUGGAUAACCUACCUAUAAGACUGGGAUAACUUCGGGAAACCGGAGCUAAUACCGGAUAAUAUAUUGAACCGCAUGGUUCAAUAGUGAAAGACGGUUUUGCUGUCACUUAUAGAUGGAUCCGCGCCGCAUUAGCUAGUUGGUAAGGUAACGGCUUACCAAGGGUACGAUGCGUAGCCGACCUGAGAGGGUGAUCGGCCACACUGGAACUGAGACACGGUCCAGACUCCUACGGGAGGCAGCAGUAGGGAAUCUUCCGCAAUGGGCGAAAGCUUGACGGAGCAACGCCGCGUGAGUGAUGAAGGUCUUCGGAUCGUAAAACUCUGUUAUUAGGGAAGAACAAAUGUGUAAGUAACUAUGCACGUCUUGACGGUACCUAAUCAGAAAGCCACGGCUAACUACGUG